UUCGGAAUGACGAGGUUUGUGACUGAGCGGCGGACGGGUGAGUAACGCGUGGGCAACCUGCCUCACACAGGGGGAUAGCAGUUGGAAACGACUGGUAAUACCGCAUAAGCGCACAGCUUCGCAUGAAGCGGUGUGAAAAACUCCGGUGGUGUGAGAUGGACCCGCGUCUGAUUAGGUAGUUGGUGCGGUAACGGCGCACCAAGCCGACGAUCAGUAGCCGACCUGAGAGGGUGACCGGCCACAUUGGGACUGAGACACGGCCCAAACUCC
rnacentral:rRNA from 1 species